UACGAAGGGGGCUAGCGUUGCUCGGAAUCACUGGGCGUAAAGGGUGCGUAGGCGGGUCUUUAAGUCAGGGGUGAAAUCCUGGAGCUCAACUCCAGAACUGCCUUUGAUACUGGCGAGCUUGAGUUCGGGAGAGGUGAGUGGAACUGCGAGUGUAGAGGUGAAAUUCGUAGAUAUUCGCAAGAACACCAGUGGCGAAGGCGGCUCACUGGCCCGAUACUGACGCUAAGGUGCGAAAGCGUGGGGAGCAAACAGG
rnacentral:rRNA from 1 species